rnacentral:lncRNA from 1 species
AUGUGUAACAGGACUGAGGGUUCGUGUGCUCCCUUUUCAAAUGCUACAUUUGACAGCUUCCUAAGCUGUGCUGGGCUGAGGAGGAUUAACAACACCCAGGAGCACAUUAACGGGCUCAAAGAAAUGAUGGACGUGGCCUUUCAAUUCUACUCAGACUCCUUCAUGAGUUUGAGCAGGGAUCUGCAGCCCAUCCUGGAGCUGAUUAAGGGGCUCAGCUUCAAUGCCUCAAAGCCCAGGUUCCACGACGUCAACUUCACCAGAGUGUGGUUCCAGCUCAAGCUCAGGCCACGCCUGGCCUCUGUCACCGAAAGCCUCCUCGCCUGUCUCAGCACCAGCGACCUCACCUGCCAGACCUACCAGGCUCUGUGAGCUUCCCAUUUUCCCAGUGAUUUUUCUGUUGUGUUUCCGAUCCUAACCACCAAUAUGGAGGACAGUGAUUUGUU